UACGUAGGCAGCAAGCGUUGUUCGGAGUUACUGGGCGUAAAGGGUGUGUAGGCGGUUGUUUUAAGUUUGGUGUGAAAUCUCCCGGCUCAACUGGGAGGGUGCGCCGAAUACUGAAUGACUUCGAGUGCGGGAGAGGAGAGUGGAAUUCCUGGUGUAGCGGUGAAAUGCGUAGAUAUCAGGAGGAACACCGGUGGUGUAGACGGCUCUCUGGACCGUAACUGACGCUGAGACACGAAAGCGUGGGUAGCAAACAGG
rnacentral:rRNA from 1 species